CAGUGCCCAGCGUGUGCCGAUGGUGGUCGAGGCAAGCGCCCGCACCAGGGCCCAGCUUUUGCCGAUGGUGAUCGAGGCAACCCGGCCGCUCCAGGGCCCAGCGUGUGCCGAUGGUUAUCGGGGCAACCGGCCCCGCACCAGGGCCAGGGUCUGCGAUGGUGCUCGAGGCAACCGCCCGCACCAAGGCUCAGCAUGUGCCGCUGGUGAUCGAGGCAACAACCCACACCAGGGCCCAGCUUGUGCCGAUGGCGGUCGAGGCAAGUGCCCGUACCGAAGGGCAGCCUAUGCCGAUGAUGGUCGAUGCAUGUGCCAUCACCAUGCGUCAUCAUGUGCCAUUGAUGGUCGAGGCCUUGGCCGAAGUUCGAUUUUGAGCCACGGUGCCCAUGCUUGGCUCCAGCAUGUGCUGGUGCCGCAUUUUUUUCACUCGGGACAGCAUCGCCGGAGCAUCGCCGGAGCAU
rnacentral:lncRNA from 1 species